AACAGGACCCUCUGCAAAAUGGAAAUACGUCACAGGGAGGGAAAAGGAAGACCGGGAUGAGGGGACGCCCUCGAAAGAAGCGAGCGGUAACUGUUGACAAGAUGCCAGUCCUUGAAGAUAGACGCACUGUGGUCAUUAAACCACAGGACGUUGCUAAGUGGGUGCCCGUCGACACGAAUAUUCGUCGCUUUGUUUCACAGACUCUCGAUGAUGCCUUUUCGUCAAAAAUGAGGAAUGGACUGGAGAAGGAAAUGAUUGCUUUUCAUCAGCAAAACCUCAAAUCCCGGCUGAUACCACUAAUGCAGAUGCCUGUUCCGAAGAAGCUAGGACAUAUGCAAAUAGGAAGGAGCCAUACUGAAGACUUGGAGAAACAACUACAGUCAGUUUUGGAGGCGCAAAGGGACGUCACGGAAGCACUCAGAAGCCUGAAGCAUGACAUUUCUGAUACCAAGAAGAAGACCACAUAUGCUCAGAAAUGUUUGCGCCAGAUUUCCCAUAGUAACAAUUCAACGCAGCUAUGUUCGAGGGAGAAUGAUAUUCUCCACAUUCCUCCUCUGCCUCCCGCCAGCUUUUCUUCGUCUUCUUCCUCAGAUGAGGAGAUGAAUAUGGAAGAUUAAGAUGAUUCGGCUUUUCAAUGAAGAAAAACAAUUCAUCUCAUGUAAUUGUAAUUUAGAUUUAACCCCCCCCCCUCUCCCAGGCACAAUGUAUUCCUUUUCUUGUGUUUGUGCCGUCUACAUGUACACAUGGCAGUCACAAUACACUUUCACUGCUUCUUUACUAUAUCGAGUGAAUUGAUUAUUCCAUUGGGAUUUGGGAUUAAAACAAAUUGCACAUGGUAAUCAUAGAUGGCAUGGAGCGUGGCACUCACAAUUCGGGGAUUCCUUGCUGUGAUCAUCAUCAUCAUCAUCAUCAUCAUCAUAACUGUUGGACUGUAUACCUUCAGGACAGUUUGGGUUGGUCAUUGAUUCAAACCAUUUUUUUUUGUCAGCGAUUACAAGAUUGAAGUUUGUUGAUUUGUCGAUCGUUACGUUGCAAGAGUGAAGAUGGUGUAACAAUAUGCAACUGCUUUCACCAUUGAAUAUCCAUUAUACUGCGAUACCAAGAAAAAUAAAGGAAUGUUCUCCCCUCCUCUCCACCUCACGUGCCUCGUUUUCCCACAAUGUAAAGCAGCUCGUGUGUUA
rnacentral:lncRNA from 1 species